GUUCAGGGGUAAACCUGAGAAACCCGAAAGGUCGAAAGGGGAAAUUCAUUCGCGUUUCGAUCGUCGGCGCGUGUCGGUCGAGCGACGAAGGGCGUUCGCGCCCGACGCGCCUUCCGUCACGUCGAACCGGCGUCGAACGCGUGCACUUUUCCCCUAGUAGGACGUCGCGAUCCGUUGGGCGUCGACCUAAGGCCCGCGGUGGAGCCCGGGCGAAAUCGGUUCGCGCCGUUUCGCCCGGACCCGCGGUGUUUCCCGGUCGGCACGCUCGACGGUAUACAGAUGGCGCGAGGCCGCUACGCUCGGUUAGCGUCCGGCCCGUCGCAAGCGCGCCGGAGUGUCGAAGAUCGGACCUAGCGCCGAUCCCGGCCCCCGGUGACUGUUGGCGACGGUGUUCUCGGACAGACCUCGUCUUAACGCCGAUCUGCGACGCUAUAGCUUUGGGUACUUUCAGGACCCGUCUUGAAACACGGACCAAGGAGUCUAGCAUGUGCGCGAGUCAUUGGGACAUAACUAAACCUAAAGGCGCAAUGAAAGUAAAGGCCCGCCUCGCGCGGGCCGAGGGAGGAUGGGCGGUUCGCCGUUAAAAGUGACCGCUCCGCACUCCCGGGGCGUCUCGUUCUCAUCGCGAGAAGAGGCGCACCAAGAGCGUACACGCUGGGACCCGAAAGAUGGUGAACUAUGCCUGGUCAGGACGAAGUCAGGGGAAACCCUGAUGGAGGUCCGUAGCGAUUCUGACGUGCAAAUCGAUCGUCGGAACUGGGUAUAGGGGCGAAAGACUAAUCGAACCAUC
rnacentral:rRNA from 1 species